rnacentral:misc_RNA from 1 species
ACUUAAAAAUAGACUAAAUGAUCCUUUUUAUAGCCACUCCUUUUAAAUGUACAAUCUGUAACCCAGGGUUGUCUCUAAAAAUUGAAGUAGAAGGGAGAAAUAAAAAAGUAGAAGGGGAUCUGAAGGUCUAGCUUAUAGCUAGAUUGUGUUUGAAAUGCAGUUAAUAGCCGGGUAAUUACAUCACUUUAAGCGGGGGAAUUCCCCCCCCUCCCGGGUCUUAGAUACAACCCUGGUAACCAAACCCUGUAACCUAGGUAUAUGAAUGAUAUUUUAAAUAGAUUAAUAUGAAUAAACUAUAUAUUAUUCCCUCUUGCAAAAGGUUCAUUGUACAUUAUAUGUUUGGUUUUAAAAUUUCCUACCUUGUCCAGAUUUAAAAUUAACCAUGCAUGCUGUGAAAGAAAAACUGAAAACAGAUUUUAAAUUAUUAUAUUGAAGCAUUAUUUAUGAGUGAUUUAUAUAUUUAAAUGUCAUGUACCAAAACUAUCUACAUCUAUGUUAUUUAGUUUUUAUACUGAAUGAUGUCAUUGAAACAACUUUUUUUUAGAUGAACUAGAAUUGGACAAUGUUAUUAAGCUUGCAAAAAGAUGUUGAAAAAAAUCAUGUAAUUUAUUAAAAAUCAAAAUUU